AUACGGACAUAUCAGGUUGAAACACUGGUUAUCGCCAGAACGCUGAAGUUAAGCAACGUUGAACCUGGCCAGUACCGUGAUGGGUGAGCGCUUGGGAAAAUCUAAUGUUGUU